AUCCAGCUGAUGAGUCCGAAAAUAGGAUGAAACACGAGUCCUGGAU
rfam:Schistosoma curassoni strain Dakar, Senegal genome assembly, scaffold: SCTD_contig0000050